GACGAACGCUGGCGGCGUGCUUAACACAUGCAAGUCGAACGGUAAGGCCCUUCGGGGUACACGAGUGGCGAACGGGUGAGUAACACGUGGGUGAUCUGCCCUGCACUUCGGGAUAAGCCUGGGAAACUGGGUCUAAUACCGGAUAGGACUCCGGACUGCAUGGUCUGGGGUGGAAAGCUUUUGCGGUGGGGGAUGGGCCCGGGGCCUAUCAGCUUGUUGGUGGGGUGAUGGCCUACCAAGGCGACGACGGGUAGCCGGCCUGAGAGGGUGACCGGCCACACUGGGACUGAGGUACGGCCCAGACUCCUACGGGAGGCAGCAGUGGGGAAUAUUGCACAAUGGGCGCAAGCCUGAUGCAGCGACGCCGCGUGAGGGAUGACGGCCUUCUGGUUGUAAACCUCUUUCAGCAUCGACGAAGCGAAAGUGACGGUAGGUGCAGAAGAAGGACCGGCCAACUACGUGCCAGCCGCCGCCGUAA
rnacentral:rRNA from 1 species